UACGAAGGGAGCUAGCGUUGUUCGGAUUUACUGGGCGUAAAGGGCGCGUAGGCGGCCAGCACAAGUCAGUUGUGAAAUCUCCGAGCUUAACUCGGAAAGGUCAACUGAUACUGUGCGGCUAGAGUGCGGAAGGGGCAACUGGAAUUCUUGGUGUAGCGGUGAAAUGCGUAGAUAUCAAGAGGAACACCUGCGGCGAAGGCGGGUUGCUGGGCCGACACUGACGCUGAUGCGCGAAAGCCAGGGGAGCGAACGGG
rnacentral:rRNA from 1 species